rnacentral:rRNA from 1 species
CCUACGGGGGGCAGCAGUGGGGAAUAUUGGGCAAUGGGCGCAAGCCUGACCCAGCAACGCCGCGUGAAGGAAGAAGGCUUUCGGGUUGUAAACUUCUUUUAAGAGGGAAGAGCAGAAGACGGUACCUCUUGAAUAAGCCACGGCUAACUACGUGCCAGCAGCCGCGGUAAUACGUAGGUGGCAAGCGUUGUCCGGAUUUAGUGGGGGUAAAGGGCGUGCAGCCGGGAAGACAAGUCAGAUGGGAAAUCCCGAGGGGCAACCGCGAGUCAGCAUUUGAAACUGGUUUUCUUGAGUACAGGAGAGGUCAUCGGAAUUCCUGGUGUAGCGGUGAAAUGCGUAGAUAUAAGGAAGAACACCAGUGGCGAAGGCGGAUGACUGGACGGCAACUGACGGUGAGGCGCGAAAGCGUGGGGAGCAAACAGGAUUAGAUACCCUAGUAGUC